rnacentral:rRNA from 1 species
GAGAGUAAAACAGUACGUGAAAUUGUUGAAAGGGAAACGCUUGAAGUCAGUCGUGCCGGCGUUGGAUUCAGCUUGCUUCGCGGAGCAGGCGCAUUUCCGCGCAUGGCAGGUCAGCGUCAGUUUUGUGCGGCGUGAAAAGGCUCGGGUAAGGUAGCUCUCUUCGGGGAGUGUUAUAGACCUGGGCAGAUGCGCUGCGCGGGACUGAGGAUUGCAGCGGACACCCCCUCGGGGGCGCGGCGACCGAACCCUGCUCGGCCACCCUCGUUCGAUAGCGUGCUAGCGGACGCGGGAGCGGCAGUGCACCGGAACAGGCAAGCCAGCGGUUCGCUAAGGAUGCUGACGUAAUGGCUUUAAACGA